rnacentral:rRNA from 1 species
UGGGGAAUCUUGCGCAAUGGGCGAAAGCCUGACGCAGCAACGCCGCGUGGGGGAUGAAGGCUCUCGGGUCGUAAACCCCUUUCAGCAGGGACGAAACUGACGGUACCUGCAGAAGAAGCCCCGGCCAACUACGUGCCAGCAGCCGCGGUAACACGUAGGGGGCGAGCGUUGUCCGGAAUUAUUGGGCGUAAAGAGCUCGUAGGCGGCUCAGUAAGUCGGGCGUGAAAACUCAGGGCUCAACCCUGAGACGCCGCCCGAUACUGCUGUGGCUAGAGUCCGGUAGGGGAGCGUGGAAUUCCUGGUGUAGCGGUGAAAUGCGCAGAUAUCAGGAGGAACACCAGCGGCGAAGGCGGCGCUCUGGGCCGGUACUGACGCUGAGGAGCGAAAGCGUGGGGAGCGAACAGGAUUAGAUACCCCCGUAGUCC